ensembl:lncRNA
AGACAUGGUUUUGUUUUAUUUAUUUUUUUAGACAAUAUGGUGCAGAAUACUGAAUCUUAGUUCCUUAACUAGGGAUUGAAUCCAGCCCCCAUCCCUGCCACCCCCGCAUUGGGAGAAUGAAGUCUUAACCACUAGGCCACCAGGGAAGCCCUCAGACAUGAAUAUUUUGCCCUCGGAGAUGAGGGGAACGUAUCGCUGCCGGCGCCUCACUUGCAGAUGCUCAGAAGACCUUCGGCCUCCCCCGCCCCUACCGGCUGCUCCCCGCUGCAGCUGAGCGCUCCGGGUUUAUGCUCAACUUCCCCAGCCUCCAGCCAGCUCUGCUACACCUGACUCUGUGACCAAAGGUAACCUCUUGGUUGUCCCAUCUAGAAAUAAGAACUAUGUCCUCUCUACUAUGAGUAACAAAAACUGAUCAU